UACGUAGGGACCGAGCGUUGUCCGGAAUCAUUGGGCGUAAAGAGCGUGUAGGCGGCUAUUUAAGUCCUGCGUGAAAUCCUGCGGCUCAACCGCAGACGGUCGUGGGAAACUGGAUGGCUAGAGUGCGGGAGAGGAGAGUGGAAUUCCCGGUGUAGCGGUGAAAUGCGCAGAUAUCGGGAAGAACACCCGUGGCGAAGGCGGCUCUCUGGAACGCAACUGACGCUGAGGAGCGAAAGCAUGGGGGAGCGAACAGG
rnacentral:rRNA from 1 species